GCAGUAGAAGGGGGGGCAGUGGAAGGGGGGCAGAGCCAAGCGGCUCCAGCACAGCAGCAGCAGCCCCACAACUCCAGCUGCAGUGUGAUAGUCCAGACGACCUCCAAGAUGGCACAGAUCGAUCUAAUAUGGGUUUUUACUCAUGAUUUCACAGAAAUUUGCCCACUUGAAGAGAGGACUUAGCAUGCAAGUAAUGCAGGGACAAAAGAGGAGUAUGGUGAGCAUCUAUGGCAUCCUGGAGAUGAAGGAGAGGACACGGGAAUUGUCCCUGCUAGCCAUGUGGCAAGAGGGCUGGGGAAAGAGACUAUCUUAGAGUUUCAUCCUCAUUAGAGGUUGUAUGACUUGAGGAUCAAUACCCAUGGGCUGGCAUUCCUGAAAAUGACUGUGAGCAACCCUGAUUUUGGAAAGGGGUUUUUUGAAAAUAAUGUUAGGAAUCCUUCUCUGUAAGACAGACCCCGUUUUAAGGAAAAAGAGUAAAUUUGCACUUGGUACACAAGUCUAUGUGUAUUUAAUUCAAAUGGAGUCUAUUCAAAGCAAGUCCCUCUUUGCAGGGCUUUCUACUUCCCCUGCCUUUUGCUAAGGGUGUAUAUUCCAUUACUUCAAGAAGCAAUUUAGUGUCACAGAGUUUGGGAUGUUCCAAAGCUUGAUGACAUUGAAACAGUUUGCUUUUGCUUCAGCCUACUGGAGAAGACAAGAAUCUGUUCCGUCCUUUCCUUCUCUCUGCUGAGUGCAAACUUUAUAUUCAGUUUACAUCAACUGAAAUAAUACACGGACAAAGGGAAGAAAGAGAACAGGGAAAAAUCAGUUCAUUUUAAAAGGUGCUGAAAAGUAGAUGGCAGAGGGUUAACCCUUGCCAAAGAGCGACAGUUGGGGGCAGGGGGUAUGUGAUCACUGACCAUA